AUACUAGAUACAGCAGCGUGCAAAUCGUAUAUCUUCAUAAUCGUAUCAUCGUCUACUACGUCAUUCAAGUGACAGUUAUUACACCAUUGUUUCCCCUUAAAAUCACUCCCCUAAAAUCAAAACCAACAUCCUAAUCAGAUAAACACGAACGAUCGCUCGAGGAACACAGUGGAACCAUUGUGAUAAGUGUCCACCACUAUAAUAUUAAUGUGAAACCGAAGGAUGAGUUCAGCGCUGUGCCUUUGUCAAUUGUUAUAAAGUCGCGGAAUGAUGAAACCAGUGGUGGGUCUGGGAGACGAUGAGUUUUAGACUAGAGCGUUCAGAUUCUCAAAGAGAUAACCAUGUUAGUGCAGGAAGAGCUAGGAGACAAAGAAGCGAGAUUUAGAUAGAGAGCGUGCAGUAGCCGAGGCAAAGUGUGGGCUAAGAAUCUGAGAGAGAAAAAGAGAGGUGGCGCAAUGGAUAAUUUUGAUGCAACAACCGAUUAAAUCUGCUGGAGCAUGGUUGUGUUGCAAUGUGAUACAUUUGAGGAUCAUCACGGAAAAAGGAGAAUAUCAUUUUCAAAAUUAUCCAAGGACUAGAUUAUGUGUCUACCUUUAGCUGUUGUUGUCAUGUAUCAUUCGUGUAGACUCUAUAGUUCAAGCUUUCGGUAUUUCAUGAUAAAGGCACAAGACAUAGCUAAAGGUGACACUAGAGGAAGUUAUCUUGUAAUUUAUGCUCGUUUUAGUAGUUACUUCAUUGUAGAAUGUUUCAUGCACUAUGUUAAUCGAUGUGUAAUUAUGGUCUUGGUAUAGUUAAUGUUAUGCGAUGAAAAAGA